rnacentral:rRNA from 1 species
GAUGAACGCUGGCGGCGUGCUUAACACAUGCAAGUCGAACGGUGAACGAGGGAGCUUGCUCCCUCCGGAUCAGUGGCGAACGGGUGAGUAACACGUGAGCAAUCUGCCCUGGACUCUGGGAUAAGCGUUGGAAACGACGUCUAAUACCGGAUACGAGGCGUGGGGGCAUCCCCAACGCCUGGAAAGAACUUCGGUCCAGGAUGAGCUCGCGGCCUAUCAGCUUGUUGGUGAGGUAACGGCUCACCAAGGCGACGACGGGUAGCCGGCCUGAGAGGGCGGCCGGCCACACUGGGACUGAGACACGGCCCAGACUCCUACGGGAGGCAGCAGUGGGGAAUAUUGCACAAUGGGCGCAAGCCUGAUGCAGCAACGCCGCGUGAGGGACGACGGCCUUCGGGUUGUAAACCUCUUUUAGCAGGGAAGAAGCGAAAGUAACGGUACCUGCAGAAAAAGCACCGGCUAACUUCGUGCCAGCCGCCGCUGUAAUAC